CAGUGCGGUUUUAGGUGCGAUUU
rnacentral:snRNA from 1 species